rfam:Daphnia magna strain Xinb3 scaffold00248, whole genome shotgun sequence.
CCCGUGUGCAUUGUAGUUGCAUUGCACGUUGUGAAUGAUUUGUUUCGAGCAAUGCUUCGGCAGUGCAACGCGGG